UCCUGAGAAAGGAGGAGGCCUGCAUCUGCCUGUCUUGCUUGUGCAGUGUGUGUCCAAGGAAAAAGAUCCUGCAUCAGGGGGAGUCAGUUUCUAGAGUUCCCACAAGCAUGAAAUGGUAGGACAAGGUCACCAAGAGCAUGGAGAAUGACAGCAGAAAGACUUUGGGAAGGGUCUGGUGCUUGUCUGGCCCUUUGAUGAGCUCAUGCAGCUUAAAAAAGUGUAAGAAAAUGAAUUACGCAAAAAUACACCUGCCCGGGGAAGGAAGAAAGUUGGUCACUGUGAGAAUGGAGGCUGAAACUGCAAUGAGUGGGAGAAGUGGUGCUUCCCUCAAAAGGGCAUGAGGUGAACAUGGCCUGAUCAGGGAGGCUGACUGGACAGGUGAAGGGAGGUCACUUAGCAGCACCAGCCUGCACAGCAGAUAAAGGAAUGAAAAGGACUGCAGGAGUCCAGGAGGAUGUUGUCAGGGGUAAGAGUAGUUGAAGAGGAACCAACAAGGAAAGAGGAUGUGUUCAGAGUGACCACAGGAGGUUGCUGCAACAAGCUCUUGAAAAACAGUUGCAUACAGGGCAAUGGUCUCAUCUUCCCUAUCUAGCUCGAAAGGGUUUAUUCUGGUGUAUCCACACUGCUGUCUCUGAAAGAGGAGUCCUGUUUGUGUCCCUUACUUACUGAAGUCUACAUUUCUCCAAACUGGGAUUCAAUAAGAGCACAGCUGCUGCAUUUUUAUUAUCUGUGACAAGCAGCAGUAAAAGCUGUUCAGAGUUGAUGAUGGAAAUGUAUCCAUACACUGGCAUUUAGCCAGCUGCACUUCACAAAGGUAAAUGGCAUGAGAGUGGUACCCUGUUCCCUUUUAAUCCAUUUGCUAUAGACAGGGGUACUUUGCCUCUCUGCAGGAAAAUCUGGCAUAGCUACUCUGCUAAUAAACACUCAUUUCUCACUGCAGCAUACGUGCUUCCCAGGCUCAUAAAUCCAGGCAACUUGCAGUUGAAUAACAAUUAAAUAUCUGCACACAUUUCCAUAGCACAGUCUGUUGCACAAGGCACAGGCUAAGUGGCUGCACAUCUGCUGUCUGCUCUCCCACAUCUACUGUUCAGCAGAGUGUAGUCACAGUGUCACAGACUGCAUUGGGCUGGAAGGGACCCUCAAAGGUCAUCUUGUUCAACCCCUCUGCAGUCAGCAGGGACACCUCCAACUAGAGCAGGCUGCACAGGGCCACUCUGAGUCUGAUCUUGAAUGUCUCCAGGGACAGGGCCUCAACCACAUCCCUGGGCAACCUGUUUCAUUAUUUCA